GCAUUAAUGGGGUAGUGGUAACCUGGGUUGUUGCCAUAGGGAACCAGAACAUGAAUGCUCGACCCGCUGGGGGGUUGAUUCCCCCUCAAUGCA